UCGAGAAUUUUUCUCAAUAGGGGAAACCCUGAAGGAGCGACGCCGCGUGGAGGAUGAAGGCUUUCGGGUCGUAAACUCCUGUCAUUAGGGAACAAUUGUCAGCGAUUAACUGUCGCGGACUUGAUAGUACCUGAAGAGGAAGGGACGGCUAACUCUGUGCCAGCAGCCGCGGUAAUACAGAGGUCCCAAGCGUUGUUCGGAUUCAUUGGGCGUAAAGGGUGCGUAGGUGGUAGACUAAGUCGGAUGUGAAAUCCCAGGGCUCAACCCUGGAACUGCAUUCGAUACUGGCCUGCUCGAGGACUGGAGAGGAGAUUGGAAUUUAUGGUGUAGCAGUGAAAUGCGUAGAUAUCAUAAGGAAGACCAGUGGCGAAGGCGGAUCUCUGGACAGUUCCUGACACUGAGGCACGAAGGCUAGGGGAGCAAACGG
rnacentral:rRNA from 1 species